rnacentral:lncRNA from 1 species
CCACCGCGCCCGGCAUUUUGUUCACUGACGUGCAUUUUGUUCACUGCUGUGCCCAUUUUCUCACAGUGCCUAGCCCAAAUAUUUCAUGACUGUUUACUAAAGGUGUAUUUCUGAUUCUAUGUAAGUGAACAGAGAUGUGAUGAGAGGAUAAAGGGGAAAUGCACCCCCUCAAAAAGCUUAUUACUUCACAAGGUAUCCCAUGUUGAGAUAAACGCAGAGUAAACCUCAUGCCUAAAUAUGUCCUGUUUCCUCAAAGAGGCCUGCCUAGUACCAGGGUGCCUUGUGAAAGGUUCAGAUAAGCAAUUUAAUGCAAAUCAUAAAAUGCAAACCCACUUCUUUCUGGGAUGGUAAUGUUGUAGCACCCUAAAAGAGAGAGCGUUUGAAUUAUUUUGGAGAAUAUUCUGCUUCAAGGACCUAGAGUCAUAACUCACACAAAAAAGUCAAGAUUUAAAUAUAAAACAGGGGCUCAAGAGUGAGCCAUGUUGAGAUUGUAUAUCAGUUUUCUCUUGCCCUGAUUUGAAAAUCUUUCACUGUUUAAAUCUGUUGAUUUCUAAAUUGUAACUAUAAUGCCGGGACAGGAGAUGGGACCCCUAGUUUUUAUUUAGCACUUGACUGAAAUGUAACAUGACUUCAAGAUUCUUUUAUAUUAAAAAAAAAGUCAGCUAUUGUUCAUCUCCAGUGAAAUGAAUAAAACUUAGAUGACAGGGACUUAAAGGUAGACAAAAAGAUGUAGGACAGAGCCAAGGAAUUUAAACAAUUUUCAGAGUUCAGGGAAAAUGAUAAAAUCUCUUAAUCUAGAGAUAUUUAAGAAGAAGGCAGGGAUCUUUUCUCUAAAAUUGGGGGAGCAAAGGGUACUUCUUCGUGAACAACGGUAUCCAUCUAGUCUUUUUUGUACUACAAUAAGAAUAGCAAGACCGUGCUUCAGGAAAGCUGUCCAGUGUAAACAGGCCCCGCCUUGGAGUUCAUUGAGGACAGGUCUCUUUCUACAGAGGAGACCCAAGUGAAACUCUCUUGCUCUGGUGUUCUAGAAACUCAGUGGUGAAGGCUGAUCUGUGAUUCUUCCCCAGAUUCCUCGAAUUCAUGGGGGUUAAGGCCUAAGAUUUAACAUGCUCUUAACCUUGUUAACAAAGGUGCCUUCGUAUUGAGGAGACAUUAAAACUUAGCCACAUAAAUAUAUCUUGUCUCCUCCAGUGUUAAAAAAACAAAAAACAAAACUACUAUAAGCUGGGUGGAAUCAUGGUAAACAAAGCAUUUUCCAUUGCUUCAAGCACAGCAAAUAGAAUCUCUACCGAUAGUGCUUCUCCUUAGUUUCACCAGGGACAUUAGAUUCAUAGUGGUUCAUUUCAAAACCAUGCUUCCUCUUUCAGAGACUGUUUUGUCACCUGCAGGCUGAAGCGUUCUCCUUAGCUGAAGAUGCAAGCUUGCCCUACAGAAUGUUUGAACCUUCUGGUGGGUGCCUGGAGUUACGAAGAGAGGAGCUGCCAUUUUCUUUGCCCCGAGGAGCUGGCUCGGUGACCUCCUUCAGUCAUGGAAAGUCCCUUCCCCAGAUAGAGUCCAGCAUUCCACUGGCUUCUCCUGCUGCUAAAAUAAAACCGGGCGAAUCCCUCAGUAAACCGUGGAGCAUAAAGAGGUGAUGUGGGCACAGAACUGAGC